UACAGAGGUCUCGAGCGUUGUUCGGAUUCAUUGGGCGUAAAGGGUGCGCAGGCGGCGUCGCAAGUCAGGCGUGAAAUCCCCGGGCUUAACCUGGGAACUGCACUUGAAACUACGAUGCUGGAGUAUGGCAGAGGGAGGUGGAAUUCCACGUGUAGCGGUGAAAUGCGUAGAGAUGUGGAGGAACACCGAUGGCGAAGGCAGCCUCCUGGGCCAAUACUGACGCUCAGGCACGAAAGCGUGGGGAGCAAACAGG
rnacentral:rRNA from 1 species